GUUGGGAUAGCUCAGUUGGUAGAGCAGAGGACUGAAAAUCCU
rnacentral:tRNA from 2 species